AUUGAACGCUGGCGGCGUGCCUAACACAUGCAAGUCGAGCGGUAACAGGUGUAGCAAUACAUGCUGACGAGCGGCGAACGGGUGAGUAAUGCUUCGGAAUCUGCCCAUGUAGUGGGGAAUAACCAGCCGAAAGGUUGGCUAAUACCGCAUACGACCUACGGGUGAAAGCAGGGGAUCGCAAGACCUUGCGCUAUUGGAUGAGCCGAAGUCGGAUUAGCUAGUUGGUAGGGUAACGGCCUACCAAGGCGACGAUCCGUAGCUGGUCUGAGAGGACGACCAGCCACACUGGGACUGAGACACGGCCCAGACUCCUACGGGAGGCAGCAGUGGGGAAUAUUGGACAAUGGGGGCAACCCUGAUCCAGCGACGCCGCGUGUGUGAAGAAGGCCUGCGGGUUGUAAAGCAC
rnacentral:rRNA from 1 species